GCCCUCAGUAAGACUACACAUGCAAGCAUCCACGACCCUGUGAGAAUGCCCUCCAUCAGAACAUGAGGAGCAAGUAUCAAGCACGCAAACAUGCAGCUCAAGACACUUUGCACAGCCACGCCCCCACGGGAAACAGCAGUGACAGACUUUUAGCAAUAAACGAAAGUUUAACUAAGCUACACUGAUAACCAGAGUUGGUCAAUUUCGUGCCAGCCACCGCGGCCAUACGAUUGACUCAAGUUAAUAGAGUUCGGCGUAAAGAGUGUUUAAGAUAGGGUAUAUUUAAUAAAGCUAACCUACAACUAAGUCGUAAAAAACCUCAGUUGCAAUAAAAUACUCUACGAAAGUGGCUUUAUAAUAUUCUGAACACACUACAGCUAAGGUACAAACUGGGAUUAGAUACCCCACUAUGCUUAGCCUUAAACCUAAAUGACUUAAUUAACAAAAUCAUUCGCCAGAACACUACAAGCAACAGCUUGAAAUUCAAAGGACCUGGCGGUGCUUUACAUCCGUCUAGAGGAGCCUGUUCUGUAAUCGAUAUACCCCGAUAAACCUUACCACAUCUAGCCGUCAGCCUGUAUACCGCCAUCUUCAGCAAACUCCUUAAUGAUUGUAAAGUAAGCAGAAGUAUCAUCAUAAAAACGUUAGGUCAAGGUGCAGCCAAUGAAGUGGGAAGAAAUGGGCUACAUUUUCUAAACCAGAAAACUACACGAUAACUCCUAUGAAAUCUAGGAGCCUAAGGUGGAUUUAGCAGUAAACCAAGAGUAGAGAGCUUGAUUGAAACAAGGCCAUUAAGCACGCACACACCGCCCGUCACCCUCCUCAAACAUCACAUAAAAGUACACUAACAAUUAAAACACUAAAUACUGAUCUAGAGGGGAUAAGUCGUAACAUGGUAAGCGUACUGGAAAGUGCGCUUGGGUAAAU
rnacentral:ncRNA from 1 species